rnacentral:lncRNA from 1 species
UUGCCAUUUGUUUCCCUUUCUAAAAAUCAGAAAACCUCCCCUUUUUCCCACUUUCCUUUUCGGCUAGGGUUUUUAAACCCAUCAUCGUCGACGCCUUUGCGAUGCCAUCGUGGGUGCUGGUCGAACCGGUACAACACGGGCUUUCUAGCCCUUGUAUAAAACACCUUUGAAGACCAAGCUUUCUCAGCGAAAAAAUGAGAGAAAAAGGCCCUUUCCCCUUUUUUGGAUUCGAUUUUAUCGAGGGUGAAGAAACUUCGACGACAUUAUCCCGGGGUUCAGGUAAUCUUCUUUUCUCUUUUUCUUUUUAUAUUUUUUGUUAAAAAUAGAUUUGAAAUCAGAAAAUAAGAAUACGAAAAUAAAAAAACCGAGAUUGAACCCUUUUUUUUUGCUUUUCGAUUGCCUAAUCCAGUCUGUCCCCUUACAAUAUUUGGUUUCUGGGCUUAUAUAGCCGAAAAAAAUUUGAUUUAAUAUUAUUGCUAUUGUCUAUGCUUUGCUUGUUUUCUUGCUCGUUUCUGCUCUAUUUUUUUGCCUUUUUGCUCUGUUGUCUUGUUUUGUUUCCUUUUUUGCUUUCUUUUGCAGGCGCACAAAAGGUCAAUGGGGCUGUAGAUGGUCAUUUUGGUGCAACGGGACAAGGGGAGCCGAGCCUCUAGCGUUGGACGUGCCGACGAAGCAUGUGGAAGGGGUACGGCACGAAGGCGAUUCAGAAACCCUAGGGUUUUUGAAUUGUUUUAGGCUAUUGGGCUUGUAGGAAUUGGGUUAGGGGUUUGGGUCUGCUGGGUUUUGUAAUUGGGUAAUUUAGGCCUGCUACUUAUUUGUAAUUUGGACAUUGGGCAUGUUAAUUUUUUGGGUUUUACUAUUGUUGGGUUUUUUAACGGGUAGGGCAAAUUUGGGCCCGUACACUGCAUAUUCAUGAAAUUUUGAAUUAUAUGGUGUUGAGGUGAGUUGUCAAUGGUUAUUUGAACUAAUUUUUUAUGGUUGAGAGUGAAUAUUAAAACAUGGACUAAAUUGAAUAGAAUAGAAAAUAAUAUGAUUUAAUUGCU